rnacentral:lncRNA from 1 species
AAGACUGUAAUGCUACCACUUGUACUUGACCAUGUAUCAUCUUGUAACAUUUCUCUGGCAAAAUUCUUCAGGUGGGUUUGUGAACAUUAUCACUCAAGGAGGAGGCAGGCCAUCGCUUGUCAAGUUGUCAAUACCAGCACCAAAGAGGGAGGAGGCUGUGAAGCCUAGGUUUUGGGUCAUUUGGUACUUGGUGUCUUCUGCGUCUGAUUCCAUCGGUACAAGGAAAAAAGAAAGAGAAAAAACUGUUGAGAGACUCUUCUGAGAGAUUUGAGGAGAGGUGGUGCCUCUUGGGUUUGCUGUCAGAAAAAAUAAAAAUAAAAACUAGAGAAAAAUUAACUCUUGUGGAGUAGCUCUUAUUGUUUGUUGUCAGUGAUUGCACUUUAAUUUAGUUUGGUGUGAACUAUUUUGGUUCUCAAUCUCUGUUCUUUGAGCUAUUGCCCCUUGGUAUGGAGUAAAUCUUGGAGCAAAAUUCUUCAGGUGGGAGAGAGAACUCAAAAAAGCACGGGGAAGAAAUGUUUCUUUGGUGGGAAAUAUGAAAGAGAAGCACAGGUCUCCCGGAUUGGAUGGGUCUGCUCGUUGCUUCUUUGUUUCUCAAAUGGCG